UUCGGGGUUUGUAAUUUGGCCGUGGGUAGGUAAUUGGCUGGAGCAGGGCGGCAGGGCGCGGCAGCCAAUCAGCGCGCGGCUUCUAUAGGGCUUGAGUUAUUAGACGCUGAUCUCAAAACAUCCUUCAUCAGACACGAAGGAGAGGCCAACAGAUGAGGGAAGCCAUUUUUCUGCAAUGGAAUUAAAUGGCCAAGUGGGUUUUUCCUUUGUUGCAAAUGGGGAAUGUUUUUCCUUUGACUCUACCAUCCAGUUCAGGACGUCUCAGUGUGUUUAACAUUUGUCAACAGGCCCAAGGACUCACAGUUGGAAGACUGGAGAAGACUUUUUAAAAAGAUCUGGAUUUUUCCUUAUGACUUGGAAUCCAUCUUUGUCUUGUAUAACUAGGUCAUAGCACACCAUUCAUGUCAGCAGUUAACAGUUUUGAAUUCCAAAAAAACCUAAAGCAGUAAACAGUCCUCAGCGAAGCCGCCUUUUUGCCUACCCAACCCUGGAAAGUUUGCAGAAGUGGAAGGAGCAGAACGUGAGGGUGUAACUUACAAAAAGGUUCUGGGCCGGAGAAGGGGCGACGUUCGGGCACCCCCCGAAUGGACAAUCUUUCCUUCUGUCAACGGCAGGGGCAGGCCUAGUUUGACUCUGACAGUCCUCCCACUAAGAGUUUCGCUCUUGUUGCCCAGGCAAUGGUGUGAUCUGGGCUCACCGCAACCUCCGCCUCCAGGGUUCAAGCGAUUCUCCUGCCUCAGCCUCCGAGUAGCUGGGAUUACAGGCAUGUGCCACCACGCCCGGAUAAUUUUGUAUUUUUAGUAGAGACAGGGUUUCUCCAUGUUGGUCAGGCUGGUCUCAAACUGACCUCAGGUGAUCCGCCCACCUCGGCCUCCCAAAGUGCUGGGAUUACAGGCAUGAGCCACCGCGCCUGGCCGGACAAUAAUGUUUUGAGCUGUUGCUGAGUCUGGCUUUUGUGACGGGAACUUUUAGCACUCAAGGAGUGGCCUUGUCUCUGGCCUGUCCCCGAGUGCUCAUGGGCAGCCAAGGCCUGGGGACUGCUCAGGCAGGGUAGAUGUAUUUGCCAGGCCAGCUCCCGUCCCUGGGACCUCAGGGAGUAGCUUCAUCCCUGAAGGCUGAGUGUCUUCUGCCUCAUGUGGGUGGCCCCUCUGCAGGGUUCUCAGGCAUCCAGGGAAGUGGGUGCCACAGCGUUGCCUCCAGCCUCACUGGGGCUGGCUGGACUUUGCUCUGACAACACAGCAGUGGCUGGGCCCCUGCAACUCUCCAGGGCUCAGUUUCCCUGUUGGCCGCACUAUGGCAUAGGCCCCUGUGUGGACACCGAUGAGCUGACCCCACAAAUGCCACCCGGCCGCUCCCCCAGGCUUCAGUGGCCUAACAGCUGUUGUGUCAGGAACCAGCUUAAAGAAUCUUUCUUGCUUUCUCAAACUCUCCAGGAAUUCCUGGUGACUGGAAGGGGGAGUGACUCAGGCCCUCAACCUCUAGCAGGUAAGGGAGCUACCUCCUGGGUGGGCAUGCCCAGUUCCUCAGUGGGCCCAGCGCGGCCCAGCCUCCGAGGAAGCUCUGAGCAGCUGGCUUGGCUCCGAGGUAUUUUUAGCUACAGAUCCAGCCCCCCUCCAUCACCACAACAGUCGAGUCCAAAUCAAACGCGCUCCAGGCAGGUGGGGCUGGGGUUCUGCCAGCCUCCUGGCCAGCAGGGGUGGGUGGGCAGACUGGGGCCAGUAUCAGCUGUUCUGCCUGGACCCAGGCCGGGCUGGGAAGGCACACUUGUGCUUAUUUCCCGCCUCCACUUCUGUGCAAGCUUGUGCUGUCAUAAGCAGAGAUCACAGCCCCAUUUCUUGGAUGGAGAAAGUGGACACUGAGGUCUGAGGCUUUUGAGGACAGUCAGGAGCCCUCCUAUGGGCUCCAGUGAUGCACUCACCAGCUUCUGGUCCUCUUCUUCCACCUCUUAGAGUGCCUUGGCUCCCUCCUGUCGUCCUGGGGAACCUCGGCCCCAGCCCUGCCUCCCCAGCCAGUCACAGCUCCUCCCUGGUCACCCUGAGGGAGCUCAGGGCCCGGCUGGUAGCUGGGUUGCUCUGCUUCUGUCCCCCACUCCUGUGGAGCCUGGCAGGCAACUCCAUGAUCUGACCCCGGUUACCUUGACAGCCCUGCCUGGCCUCCCCUCUCAUGGCCCAGCCACCCCAGAACCUGAAGAGGUUUUCUAGCUGCCGUGCAUUUGCCAGGCUGGGUUACCCACCCUACUUUCCCUGCCUGCCCUCCAGUGCUGCCAGGCCUAGUGUGCCAGCCAGCGCUCAGCCUUCAGUAAAGGGUUCCCCUGCUUCCAACCUCCAUUGCACUGCUUCCCCUAAGACUGUGACCUCCUGGAAGGCUGGAGCACAACUGCCUCUCAAUAAACGUGUUGCA
rnacentral:lncRNA from 1 species